AGGGGUGUAGCUCAAUGGAAGAGCUCUUGCUUUGCACGCGUGAGGCCCCGGCUUUGAUACCCGGCGUCUCCA
rnacentral:tRNA from 1 species